CAGGUUCUGUCUUCCCACGGGAGCCCAAAACUUCUGUGUCCUGCUUGUCCUAGUCCGGCUCCGUUCCCAUCAACACAACACCGCCGGUCACCUAGUACCACUGCUCCAUCUGGACGCGUGAGCUGCAGGCGUCGUUGCAAUUAGUUCAUCUUCGGUCAUUAUACUAAGAGCUAACUCUACUAGCGACUAGUUUGUCUUUAAU
rnacentral:lncRNA from 1 species